GAUGAAGAACGUAGCGAAAUGCGAUAAGUAAUGUGAAUUGCAGAAUUCAGUGAAUCAUCGAAUCUUUGAACGCACAUUGCGCCCAUUAGUAUUCUAGUGGGCAUGCCUGUUCGAGCGUCAUUAAUUCCACUUAAGCCCUGCUUAGUGUUGGGAAUCUACUCUAGUGGUGCUACCCUGGAGCUACCCCUGAAAGGGGGCUGGCCCGGUAGUUACCCUGUAGUUCCUCAAAGAUAGUGCGCGGAGUUGCGUGGUCCUCUGAGCUUAGUAACUAUACACCUAGCUUUUGAGUGUCCCGCGGCGCCUGCCGUUUAAACCCCAUCUUUUAAUGGUUGACCUCGGAUCAGGUAGGAAUACCCGCUAAACUUAAGCAUAUCAAUAAGCGGAGGA
rnacentral:misc_RNA from 1 species